AAAAUACUAGUUACUUAUGUAAAAUAAAGAAAAAUAAGCCUAAGAUAUUGGCAACAUAUUUGGUUGGGGGGCUUAUGAAUAGAUUCCAGCCCAAUUCGGUGGACCAACCACCAAACAUUAAUUUAGUUGCCCUUUUCAAUUUUUGCCCUCACCACUACCUAGAGAAUGAAGAACCACUACAACCAUCAUCUUCUCCCUCGGUUCAUGGGAGGAGGCAACAAGGCUUUUGAAUAAAAUGGUGGAUAACAAUAUUUCACUUAAUAUUGUCACAUAUACUAUAUUGAUUGAUGCACUUUGCAAGGAAUGAAUGAUUUCUAAAGCUGUAGAGACCAUUGACAUGAUGAGAAAGCAAGGGUUGAAAAGGAUAAAGCUAGAAGAGUUUUACAGUUGAUGAUUGAAAAGGGUUGUGCACCUAAUGUAGUUACUUACAGCACGAUGAUCAAUAGAUAUUGCAAAGGUAAAAGGUUAGAUGAAGCAAUGGAACUCUUUCAUGAAAUAUCUCAAAAUAGAACCUUCUGAAUAUAGUCACACAAAACACUCUAAUGCAAAGUAUGUUUCAAUUAGGGAGAGUUUCAACUGCAUGUGAACUGUUUACAAAGA